UGCGCAGGCGGAACUUUAAGUCAGUGGUGAAAUCUUGCCGCUUAACGGUAAAAUUGCCAUUGAUACUGAAGUUCUUGAAUAUGGUUGAGGUAGGCGGAAUGUGUUGUGUAGCGGUGAAAUGCAUAGAUAUGACACAGCACGCCGAUUGCGAAGGCAGCUUACUAAGCCAUUAUUGACGCUGAGGCACGAAAGCGUGGGGAGCGAACUGGAUUAGAUACCCUGGUAGUC
rnacentral:rRNA from 1 species